rnacentral:rRNA from 1 species
CUACGUAGGGAGCGAGCGUUGUCCGGGAUUACUGGGCGUAAAGGGAGCGUAAGCGGGAGUGCAAGUCAGAUGUGAAAUACAUGGGCUCAACCCAUGGGCUGCAUUUGAAACUGCAUUUCUUGAGUGAAGUAGAGGUAAGCGGAAUUCCUGGUGUAGCGAUGAAAUGCGUAGAUAUCAGGAGGAACACCGGUGGCGAAGGCGGCUUACUGGGCUUUUACUGACGCUGAGGCUCGAAAGCGUGGGGAGCAAACAGGAUUAGAUACCCUGGUAGUCCACGCUGUAAACGAUGAUUACUAGGUGUGGGGGGACUGACCCCUUCCGUGCCGCAGUUAACACAAUAAGUAAUCCACCUGGGGAGUACGGCCGCAAGGUUGAAACUCAAAUGAAUUGACGGGG